ensembl:lncRNA
UCAGUGUCUUCCCCAGUUGCAGCAAUAGCCUGGGCAAAGGUCCUGCUCAGGUUGUAGGCCUUAAAAGCUGUUAUGAAUCCUUGAUUCUUUGGUUAGAUCAAAAAGGUGGUGUUUGGAGGGAGAAACACUGCCUCGAUAUUGGGAUGAAGAUCAUAAACAAAAGGAGGAUGUCUGGGAGCAUUAUGAACAGCAAGCAAAAUAUUGAAAGUUGGUCCCAUCAUUCACCAUGAAGGGACGUGAAACUGUAAUUCCAAUCUUAGACACAGCAUGGCUGAUGAGCAGUGCAUAGGUCCACGCCCAGGAUCCAAACCUGCAAACCCUGGGCUGCCAAAGAGGAACCCGUGAACUUAGCCACUACAUCACCAGGCUGGCCUUUCAAAGAAAUGGAAAUUCCUGUCAAAUUCGAAGGGGCCUCACACAGCCAAAACAAUAUUGAAAAAGAAGAACAAAUUUAGAGGACUCACAUUUCUCAAUUUCGAAACUUAUUAGAGAGCUACAGUAUUCAAAACAGUGUGGUACAGGAAUAAAGAUAGAUAUGUAGAUCUAUGGAAUAGAAAUGAAUUCAAGCAUAUGGACAAGUGAGUCUUCACAAAUGUGCCCAGGAUCAUUCAGUGGGGAAAGUAUGGCCUUUUCAACAAAUGUUGCUUCAAACUGAAUGUCCACAUGCAAAAGAAUGAAGUUAGACUCUUCUCUCACAUUAUAUAGAAAAAUUAACUCAACGCAGCCAAAGACUUAAGUAUGAAAGCUAAAUCCAUAAAACUGUUAAAAGAAAUCAUAGGAGUAAAUCUUCAUGACCUUGCAUUUGGAAAUGAAAUGUCCAGAAUAGAUAAAUGAUGAGUAGUACAGCACAUUUUGGGGGAGUAAUGAAAAUGUUUUGCAACUUUAUAGAGGUAGUGAUUGCACAACAUUGUGAAUGUACUAAAUGCCAAUGAAUUGUACACUUUAAAGUGAUUAAUUUCUUUAUGUGGAUUUCACCUCAAUGAAAAAUAAAAAGCAUAUAAAUAACAGAGCCUGGUGCUCACAAAGGGCUGAGAAUAGUGCCUGUUCCCAUGAGCCAGACUGGAAAACCUCAAGAUUCACAAGGCAUUAGAAUUUACAGAAAGGUGUUGUCUCAGGAGGGGAAAUAAUUAACCUCAUACUGAGUAAAACUUCUGUUUUGCUACCCAACAAAGCAAGACUCAAAUGGAUAAAAUGUUUUCCGAGGAAUUUAAUUGUAGUAAGGAAUAAAGCUCAAGAAUACUUAUAGGAGAACAAAUAUAUAUAGUACACAACAAACAUAAAAUUAAUAAUGUCCAGAAUCCAGUGAAAAAUUACAAGGCAUGCAAAGAAAACAUGACCCUCGAUGAGGAGAAAAAUAAAUUAAUCAUCAACCUAGACCAGCCAGAUGUUAGCAUUAGCAGAUAGAAUUAAAAGUUAUUAUUAUGGCAGAAUUAAAAACUGUAACAGUAUAUCAUAUGAUGAGAGUUAAGCAGAGAUAUGGAGGAUAUAAGACAAUAUCCAAAUUGAACUCCUAGAGACAAAAAAUAUAAUGUCUGAGAUGAAAAUACACUAGAUGGGAUUAAUGGAAAAUUAAACAUUGCAGAGGAAGAUAUUAGUGAAUUGAAGAUAUAGCAACACAAACUAUACAAAGACACAUUGAGAAAAGAAAGUUUUUAAAAAAUGAACAAAGUAUCAAUGAAUUGUGGGACAAUUAUAGAUGGCCUAAUAUAUGUG